rnacentral:sRNA from 1 species
AUUGGGAGCCAUGGAGAGCACCUGCCAGGCCCUUGGGGUGGGGGUGGGUGCCAUGGGACCCCAGAGUGCUCUCCUGGGUACAGGGAGGAAACAGAUGAAGGCAGAAGCCCCCAACCCAUGGGGCUUGCCACAGUGGGCUGUGUCCUGGUGACCUGGGAUUUCCUGAGCCAAUUUCUGGGGGUGGACAUGGGGCACCUCUUUCGGGCUAGGAUGUCAGGUCUGAUGGCCCAGGGUCACAGUGAUCAGUCUCUGGACUUCUCUUUGCUUGUAAUGUCACAGGCCCCUUCAUUCCCCCAGCUCUCCCUGGGGCUCGUGCUGACCCCGGUUGCUGGCUCUUGGUGAUGUCUGCAGGCACCAGAGGCCAUGCAGUGGGCCUGGAGGGGGCUUGAUCAUGAGGUCAGCGAGGGGGUACAGCAAGCUGGGUGGAAGAUGAGACGCUGGGUGGUGGGCUGUGCGUGGGGCAUAGUGCUUGAGUCGGCCAGGGCGCCGAGGGAGGACAGAAUGUGGCUGAUGGUGCCUCAGGGCAAGUGAAGCCUUCUGCCUGGGUGAAGUUUUGUUCAGGGCAGCAACAUGGGCAGAUAUGCAGGAAGGUAGUGCCGUAGGGCCCCAAGGCCAGAAUCCCAGGCUGUACCUGCUCAGGGACCCUCCUACCCCCAGGCACAUCUCUGAUCCAGGACAUGAAGGCAUACCUGGAGGGAGCGGGCGCGGAAUUCUGUGACAUCACUCUGUUGCUUGACGGGCACCCACGGCCAGCCCACAAGGCUAUCCUGGCCGCCCGCUCCAGCUACUUUGAAGCCAUGUUCCGGUCCUUCAUGCCCGAGGACGGGCAGGUGAACAUCUCCAUCGGGGAGAUGGUGCCCAGCAGGCAGGCCUUCGAGUCCAUGCUGCGCUACAUCUACUACGGCGAGGUCAACAUGCCGCCCGAGGACUCGCUGCAUCCUUACUCCCCAAGCAACUCCCAGGUCCCCACCAAGGGGUCCUGGCACCCACCUCGGGUGGCUUUGAGGCCUGCUCUCCUGCCCCAGCUAGGCGAUGUGGGCCCAGCGCCUCCCUCCAGAGGGUUUGCUGGUGCCUGGGGCUGGGCCUGGUGCUCUCUGAAGCAGUUGGCAGCUGGCAGGGAGGGGUUUGCAGCCAGGAGGAACCAGUGGGUUCCUGACCCUCACAACUGCCCAGAGGACGGGGUGGGUCAUUGCUUUGUGUGACAGUUGAGCACAGACAUGGAGCUACUCCUUAUGUCACUUCAGUAGGGGUCUGAACAUGGAGGGUCAGGAUGCCUGUUAGGCCUGCAAGGCCAUGGAACAGCGCUACAGAUGUGCAGACACUAUUUUUCUGGGGAGGGGAUUCAUGGUUUUCUUUGGAUCCUGAAUGGGGCCUUUGACCCACUAAGUAGUUCAGAAUCCAUUUGGAGAGCAUGCUGGCGUGGGGGCUUGGGGCUCCAGCUGCGCCCUUCCCUGUCCUUCUCUGGGAGGGUGCAGGCGGACCAGCUUCCUUUAGUCAGCUCCUUAACCAGGCCCCAGCUACUUGUUUGCGGCCCCCUACUACUACGGCUUCUACAACAACCGGCUGCAGGCGUACUGCAAGCAGAACCUGGAGAUGAACGUGACGGUGCAGAACGUGCUGCAGAUCCUGGAGGCAGCUGACAAAACGCAGGCGCUGGACAUGAAGCGGCACUGCCUGCACAUCAUCGUGCACCAGUUCACCAAGGUCUCCAAGUUGCCCACGCUGCGGUCGCUGAGCCAGCAGCUGCUGCUGGACAUCAUAGACUCCCUGGCCUCCCACAUCUCAGACAAGCAGUGCGCAGAGCUGGGCGCCGACAUCUGAGGCCCUGUGGCGCCCGCCCAUUGUGAAGAAUCGCCAUGCCUGCCUGCCCUGCCUACUGAGAAGACUACCGGCUAUGCGCAUGCCUAUGGCAGUGGGUGCACCUGCCAGGCCAAGGGUUAGGGUGCCCAGAGCCUCCAAAGAGAGCUGAGGGGAUGUGGGGCCCCAAACUCCUUAAUUCACUGAAGACACAGGUCCCACAGGGAGCGGAUGAUGAAGCAGACCCCCUCCCCUGUCAUCACCCUCUCCUGGUGUAGUGUGGAUGCGAGGCCACGGCUCAGUGAUGGGCUCACCACCCAGAAGUGGGGAGAGACCUUGGGCCUCCCACCCAGUGGGGCUUGGCCUGGCUCCUGUGGCCUGGGCGUGUUGUGGACUCAGGCACUGGGGCCUGUCACCAAGGCUCCUCCAACAUGCGGGAGGCGGCUUAGCAGACUUGCGCUGCACCAGCGAAUCUGCCUGGGCUGCUCCUGUUCCACCCACCCUCACUGAGAUCCAUGUAAGGGGCUCCUCUUCCCACCUGGAACUUGUGAGUGGGGACCCAUGAUGUAUGGGUCUCACCUGACUUGAGGUGAAUUUUGGAGUGAAGGGCCCUGAGGUCAGCUCCCAGGUCGGUCAUGCUGGGCCAGGCCUGGUUUUCACAGGGGCUGAAGGAUCCCAGUCCACCUGUGUGCAUGUCAGGGCUCGGCCGGGAAGAAGCCAGCAAAGUCCCCCGUGUCCCUUGCUGAGUAUUCUGUCACAGACAAGCCUCCAUUAAAGCCACAGCAGUGCUACCCACCACACACACCUUGCUGGCCCGGCCACCACUGCUGGCUUCAGCCCCUUGAGUAGCCCAUGGCUUAGCAGACCCCCAGAUGUAGGUCAGGUGGCCUUACCUGUCUCUAUCCAUGCUGUCAACUCCUGCCCCCACCUGGGGUCACCCAGUCACAUUGGGAAGGCUGUGAAGGCCUCCAGGCUGGCCCCGCCCAGGGGAAUCCUGGAGGCCUGGGGUGGGCUCCUGCCCCUUCUGCCGUGCCUUGCCCCUGCACUAUGCUCUUGGCUCCUGUGGAAGGAGGGCUGCCCUCUUGCCCUAGUGAGGGCCCCAUGUGGAUCCACUCUGGUGCUGGGAGCCAGCGCUCCCUUACUGGGAACAGGAUUCCAGGACCCCUUUCUUGUUGUGGUUGCCAUGAAGCCACAGCUCCUUGGGGAAGUGACCUGCUCUCCUUUGGUUGUAUGCAGGUGUGUGGGGGGCCCUGAGUGGCAAGUUGCUUAGCUAACAGGAGAUCCAUAGGCAGCCUGCAGGCUAGGAAGUGGCCUAGUGCAAGAUGAGCUGGGAAAAAGGGAGGAGAGAGCAGGAGCUGGGGCAGAGGCUGAGCCGGGAGGCCCUUGAGGUGAGGACACAGCAGGCCCAGGACCAUGGCUGGGGAGGAUAUGUCAGCACCUGGAAGUGGAGUGCAGGCUGCGGCGGCCAGCCAUGUGGGCCAGGUGCAUUCACUCAAGAGUGGGGCCACACACCCACCUACCCAGUUUCCACAAGAUGUGGCUCCUGCCACACCCACAAGGCAGCCUCCUCCAAAUCCCUCCUGGAGGGGCCUACCCAGAAGCCUCCUUGAACCAGUCUGCAACCCUGCUCUAUGCUGACCCUUGUCACUGAACCCUGAUCUAGACUUAUAUGAAUAAAUGAAAUUACAUGCCAAGGGCCCUAAAAAGCAAA